rnacentral:rRNA from 1 species
AGUGAACGCUGGCGGUAGGCCUAACACAUGCAAGUCGAACGGCAGCACAGUAAGAGCUUGCUCUUACGGGUGGCGAGUGGCGGACGGGUGAGGAAUACAUCGGAAUCUACUUUUUCGUGGGGGAUAACGUAGGGAAACUUACGCUAAUACCGCAUACGACCUACGGGUGAAAGCAGGGGAUCUUCGGACCUUGCGCGAUUGAAUGAGCCGAUGUCGGAUUAGCUAGUUGGCGGGGUAAAGGCCCACCAAGGCGACGAUCCGUAGCUGGUCUGGGAGGAUGAUCAGCCACACUGGAACUGAGACACGGUCCAGACUCCUACGGGAGGCAGCAGUGGGGAAUAAUGGACAAUGGGCGCAAGCCUGAUCCAGCCAUACCGCGUGGGUGAAGAAGGCCUUCGGGUUGUAAAGCCCUUUUGUUGGGAAAGAAAAGCAGCAGGUUAAUACCCCGCUGUUCUGACGGUACCCAAAGAAUAAGCACCGGCUAACUUCGUG